rnacentral:tRNA from 1 species
GCGCCUGUAGCUCAGCUGGAUAGAGCGACGGACUACGAAUCCGCAGGUCGGGGGUUCGAAUCCUCCCAGGCGCACCA